AAGCACUACUCCCAACGCUGGGCGCAGGAGGACCUGCUGGAGGAACAGAAGGAUGGGGCCCGGGCAGCAGCUGUGGCAGACAAGAAGAAAGGCCUCAUGGGGCCACUGACCGAACUGGACACUAAAGAUGUGGAUGCCCUGCUGAAGAAGUCUGAGGCCCAGCAUGAGCAGCCUGAAGAUGGGUGCCCCUUUGGUGCUCUGACACAGCGCCUCCUACAGGCCCUGGUGGAGG